rnacentral:misc_RNA from 1 species
GAUGAAGAACACAGCGAAAUGCGAUAAGUAAUGUGAAUUGCAGAAUUCAGUGAAUCAUCGAAUCUUUGAACGCACAUUGCGCCCCCUGGUAUUCCGGGGGGCAUGCCUGUCCGAGCGUCAUUACAACCCUCAAGCUCAGCUUGGUGUUGGGCCCCGCCGCCCCGGCGGGCCCUAAAGUCAGUGGCGGUGCCGUCCGGCUCCGAGCGUAGUAAUUCUUCUCGCUCUGGAGGUCCGGUCGUGUGCUCGCCAGCAACCCCCAAUUUUUUUCAGGUUGACCUCGGAUCAGGUAGGGAUACCCGCUGAACUUAAGCAUAUCAAUAAGCGGAGGA